rnacentral:lncRNA from 1 species
UGACACUGCAUGGCUGCACAUGUCAUGUCUGUAGGAGGAGCAAGAGGGGCUGGUGUUGUCCCAGGCUAUGGUUCUGUUGCUGGGUUCGGAGGAGUUCCUGGAGCUGUGCCUGGGGCUGGAGGGUUAGGAGCUGGCGCCAAACCUCCUAAAUAUGGAGUGCCUGGAGGAACAGGUUUGGGGGUCCCCGGAGGAGUACCAGGAGGAGUACCAAUAACUGGAGCAGGAGGUAUCACUGUUUCAUUCUGUUACAUCACUGUUACAUCCACAGCCAUAUCACCCUGCAGCCCAAGACUGGUUGCCCACUGAAGCUAAGCAGGGUUGAGCUGGUCAGUACCUGGAUGGGAGACCUCCUGGGAAAACUAGGUUGCUGCUGGAAGAAGUGUUAGUGAGGCCAGCAGGGGGCGCUCACCUUGUGGUCUGUGUGGGUCCUAAUGCCCCAGUAUAGUGACGUGGACACUAUACUGUCAAAAAGCACCGUCCUUCGGAUGAGACAUUAAACCGAGGUCCUGACUCUCUGUGGUCGUUAAAAAUCCCAUGGCACUUCUGGUACUGUGGCUGGAUCCAGGUGGAUGCUGCACUCUGGUGGUGGUUGAAGAGAGAUCCCCCCACAUGAUUGUUAAGCGCUUUGGGUGUACAGCAAUACACAAUGAAGCGCUAUAUAAAUGCAUCAUUCAUUCUGCAUAAAAGCAUGAUGAAAUGUAAAAGGCAAAAUAUUAUAUGACAUGUUAGAAAUGUUAAUUAUUUUAAACCUCUUUUUGAAAUUUUGGAUUAAAAUGUAUGGACCUCAGCAUGUGUUUUUUUUUAAUGUUUUUUGUUUUUUGCUCAACUGUUCAUAUUUCUGUGUUUAAGCAUACCCUGCUGGUGCCAAGGCUC